AUUGAACGCUGGCGGCAUGCUUAGACACAUGCAAGUCGAACGGCAGCAUGGUCUAGCUUGCUAGACUGAUGGCGAGUGGCGAACGGGUGAGUAACGCGUAGGAAUAUACCUUGAAGAGGGGGACAACUUGGGGAAACUCAAGCUAAUACCGCAUAAUGUCUGAGGACGAAAGCUGGGGACCUUAGGGCCUGGCGCUUUAAGAUUAGCCUGCGUCCGAUUAGCUAGUUGGUAGGGUAAGGGCCUACCAAGGCGACGAUCGGUAGCUGGUCUGAGAGGAUGACCAGCCACACUGGAACUGAGACACGGUCCGGACUCCUACGGGAGGCAGCAGUGGGGAAUAUUGGACAAUGGGGGCAACCCUGAUCCAGCAAUGCCGCGUGUGUGAAGAAGGCCUGAGGGUUGUAAAGCACUUUCAGUAGGGAGGAGGGUUGAUAGGUUAAGAGCUAAUUGACUGGACGUUACCUACAGAAGAAGCACCGGCUAACUCCGUGCCAGCAGCCGCGGUAAUACGGAGGGUGCAAGCGUUAAUCGGAAUUACUGGGCGUAAAGAGUGCGUAGGUGGUUGAAUAAGUUAUCUGUGAAAUCCCUGGGCUUAACCUGGGCAGGUCAGAUGAUACUGUUUAACUCGAGUAUGGGAGAGGGUAGUGGAAUUUCCGGUGUAGCGGUGAAAUGCGUAGAGAUCGGAAGGAACACCAGUGGCGAAGGCGGCUACCUGGCCUAAU
rnacentral:rRNA from 1 species